rnacentral:rRNA from 1 species
UACGAAGGGGCUAGCGUUGUUCGGAAUUACUGGGCGUAAAGCGCGCGUAGGCGGCUUCGUCAGUCAGGGGUGAAAUCCCGGGGCUCAACCUCGGAAUUGCCUUUGAUACUGCGAAGCUUGAGUCCGUGAGAGGAUGGUGGAAUACCCAGUGUAGAGGUGAAAUUCGUAGAUAUUGGGUGGAACACCAGUGGCGAAGGCGGCCAUCUGGCACGGUACUGACGCUGAGGUGCGAAAGCGUGGGGAGCAAACAGG